UAAUUUGUAUCCAUUUGUGUUCAAAAGAUAUUCAGUUUCUAAUAUGGCUAUUUUCAGAAUCUACAUGCUUUUAUGCUACCUUAUACCUCUACAGAUACUGCAAUUGUUGAGCAAAGCCUUUCCGUCGUAUUUUCGAGAUUUGUAUGUUACGAGUAUGCGAAAAUUCAAUUUGGUAACGCGUUUGGUGCAACUUUACAAACCAUAUGUUCUAUUCAAGGGCAUGUAAGUAUAUAUAUAAUUAUAUGUGGAAAUGUCUUCGUCAUUAAUUAGUUCUAUUGUCUAGCAAAUCUUAUCUUAUUAUUAUCGUCUUCGUUUGCUUGCCUUAGCGCCUUUUCUUUUUUUUUUUUUGCUAAUUAAAUAAGAUCUUUUGUUGUGUUGCAUUUUAUUUGCUUGCCUUAGCAUGCAUUAGCCUAAAUACCAUUUUAAUUAUUGGCACGAUUACCAUUUUGGUAAUAUAUUUUAUUUGUUCUAAAAGAAAUAUAAUAAAUAA